rnacentral:rRNA from 1 species
UGCAAGUCGAACGAUGACGGUGGUGCUUGCACCGCCUGAUUAGUGGCGAACGGGUGAGUAACACGUGAGUAACCUGCCCUCCACUUCGGGAUAACCUCGGGAAAUCGUGGCUAAUACCGGAUAUGAGCACUCAUCGCAUGGUGGGUGUUGGAAAGAUUUAUCGGUGGGGGAUGGACUCGCGGCCUAUCAGUUUGUUGGUGAGGUGAUGGCUCACCAAGACGAUGACGGGUAGCCGGCCUGAGAGGGCGACCGGCCACACUGGGACUGAGACACGGCCCAGACUCCUACGGGAGGCAGCAGUGGGGAAUAUUGCACAAUGGGCGAAAGCCUGAUGCAGCGACGCCGCGUGGGGGAUGACGGCCUUCGGGUUGUAAACCCCUUUCAGUAGGGAAGAAGCGAGAGUGACGGUACCUGCAGAAGAAGCGCCGGCUAACUACGUGCCAGCAGCCGCGGUAAUACGUAGGGCGCAAGCGUUGUCCGGAAUUAUUGGGCGUAAAGAGCUUGUAGGUGGCUUGUCGCGUCUGCCGUGAAAACCCGAGGCUCAACCUCGGGCGUGCGGUGGGUACGGGCAGGCUAGAGUGUGGUAGGGGAGACUGGAACUCCUGGUGUAGCGGUGAAAUGCGCAGAUAUCAGGAAGAACACCGAUGGCGAAGGCAGGUCUCUGGGCCAUUACUGACACUGA